GUGCCAGCAGCCGCGGUAACACGUAGGGGGCGAGCGUUGUCCGGAUUUAUUGGGCGUAAAGAGCUCGUAGGCGGUUUCGUAAGUCGGGUGUGAAAACCCCAGGCUCAACCUGGGGACGCCACCCGAGACUGCGAUGACUAGAGUCCGGUAGGGGAGCGUGGAAUUCCUGGUGUAGCGGUGAAAUGCGCAGAUAUCAGGAGGAACACCAACGGCGAAGGCAGCGCUCUGGGCCGGAACUGACGCUGAGGAGCGAAAGCGUGGGUAGCGAACAGGAUUAGAUACCCCGGUAGUCC
rnacentral:rRNA from 1 species